rnacentral:lncRNA from 1 species
UAGAGGGGAGGAAAUGAAAACAUCUGCCUUCAUAAAGGUGCUGCUCUUUCCUUCCAGGAUUCCCCAGGGCAUCCUUGGAGUGCCCCCAGUUUGAAUUGGAGAUAAAAGGUAUGGUCUUGUUGAAAUUGCCCCCAAAUUGAGCUGCACCUUCCAAUUGAGGCAGAAAGAAUCGCCUUUUGAUACGUUCCACAAUUGGAAUGCAAAUUCUCUCCCAUCUCCUAGACACCUGGGCCUGCCCCCAUUUUUCUUGACUGUAAUCUGUUUAGCUUGUGCAUAAAAUGGCAAAAACAAAGAGUCUUUCUGUAAAAGAAAAAGAAGAGGAAAGAAAGUAGAUUCUGUGUCCUCUUCCUUAGUCCUUGCCAAAUCUUUGCUCCCAGGCCUCGGCAGGUGGCAGUGUACAUGAGUCAUGCAGUCUAUCUUUCUGUUUUGUUUGUUAUUAACCACUGAAAUGAUGGCACCAUUCCUGGAGUUAGGCCUUCAACCAAAGAGCUGGGCCAUCCGUGGCAAUGCCUCCCAGGCUUGGGAGCUGGGAAAAGGCCCCAGGAGCUAGGGCAUCCUGAUUGUUCUUUCAAAGAAAUCCCUCUUGUUCUUAGUCAACAUGCUGGAUACCAGCUAAAAAAUGCAAAAUGAUCUUCAGGCAGGGAUGGCACAGGACCCUUGCUGAGCUGUGAAGCCUGGCUGUGAGGAUUCCUGCAUGGAAACAUCAACAUGUUGCCAGAUUGGUAUACGACUCAACACCACACUGUUUGAUUGGAGUUGAGCUGAUCUUGUCUGAACCUAGCUGGGCCUGGUCCGGGGCGGCAAAUUAGAUUCAGACAUGCUGCUCCCAAACAGUGCCUUUGAAUCAAGACCCAGUCAUCGUAUUCGAAGAAAAAGGAAAUAUCCCUGACCAUGUUGGGACUUAACACUGCUUCACAGAGCUACCCAAACCAAGGAGAAUACCAACGUGAAUUGUCUUUCCACCUGUUGUGUGGGGCCAGCAAUUAUUCUUUUAGCUUGACGCGUUAACCCACCUGCUCCCUGUGGCCCUGGGAUGCUCUGCCAUCCCCCGUGGCUGCCAGUUCACUUAGGGUAGACUUAUGGCAGAGGGAUGUCAAUUUUGCUUGAACUGCUCAAUCACUGCUGACAUUUCGUUAACCACCCUAUGAACUUCUCAAGCCUGAAGUAGCAGCAACUUGUGCCCUUGAAAACUGAACAGAAAACAACUGUAUUGAUUUUCUACUAUCAACAAGAAAAAGACAAUUUCUCUUUGCUGAGAAUGUUCAUAAUGCAUUUUACACCACUUAUUCUCGGCAGUCCACCUCUUCCUGAUAUAUUGUUGGGCCUCUUUAAACCCCUGCUGCUUUAGACUCUGCUAGAAUUAACCCUGAAAUGCCAGCACCAUCUCAAGCCCUUCCAGUUCCCGGAUAGAAAUGUUCAUCAGUGCUGAAUUGACAGCCUACUUAGGCAAGGGAGCUGUGAUCAUUUAGAAAUUACAAAGGAACUCAGGCCUGGGUGAAGGGUUUGGGGUUGGGACACUAGGAAUCUCUUUUAGUAAAAUUCUCUUUUAAAAGAACAUAUCUCUUUGGUUUGUUAAAAGCACUAAUGAUGUCUAUAUGAUAUUUUGGAGAUAUAUCAGCAUAUACACUGACCAAACUGAUUGAAUAGGAAGUAAUUUUCAGUAAUUUUUACCACUCAUGCAACCAUUCUUGCUAACUCAAGACCCAAGAUUUAACUUGUGUAUGAUUAUUCCAAAUUA